UGAACCUGCGGAGGGAUCAUUACAGAGUUAUCCAACUCCCAAACCCAUGUGAACUUAUCUCUUUGUUGCCUCGGCGCAAGCUACCCGGGACCUCGCGCCCCGGGCGGCCCGCCGGCGGACAAACCAAAACUCUUGUUAUCUUAGUUGAUUAUCUGAGUGUCUUAUUUAAUAAGUCAAAACUUUCAACAACGGAUCUCUUGGUUCUGGCAUCGAUGAAGAACGCAGCGAAAUGCGAUAAGUAAUGUGAAUUGCAGAAUUCAGUGAAUCAUCGAAUCUUUGAACGCACAUUGCGCCCAUUAGUAUUCUAGUGGGCAUGCCUGUUCGAGCGUCAUUUCAACCCCUAAGCACAGCUUAUUGUUGGGAACCUACGGCUUCGUAGUUCCUCAAAGACAUUGGCGGAGUGGCAGUGGUCCUCUGAGCGUAGUAAUCUUUUAUCUCGCUUCUGUUAGGUGCUGCCCCCCCGGCCGUAAAACCCCCAAUUUUUUCUGGUGACCUCGGAUCAGGUAGGAAUACCCGC
rnacentral:rRNA from 1 species